AUAUAUAUAUAUAUUGAAAAUGAAAUUGAUAUUUUUUACAGGACUGCAGGCAAAAGUUUCAGGGAGGGUCCUUUUUCGAUCACGAAGGAUUACCGUAUUGCGAAACGCAUUAUCAUGCUAAAAGAGGGUCAUUGUGCGCUGGUUGUCAUAAACCAAUAACAGGACGCUGUAUAACUGCCAUGUUCCGAAAAUUCCAUCCAGAGCACUUCGUUUGUGCAUUUUGUUUAAAACAAUUGAAUAAGGGAACAUUCAAGGAACAAAACGAUAAACCAUACUGCCAUGGAUGUUUUGACAAACUUUUUGGAUAAGAUCAUCUUAUAAAUAAAUAAAUAUUGUUAACACAUUCAUUAUUUAUACGGUGAUAAAGUGAAAGGCUGUUUUACUUGAGAUAUUGUCUUGGAAAAAAGAAGAAAAAUAUACAUUUGAGGAAGACAAAAAACA